UUUUCCCGCCCAAAUUCCGGGUUGUGAUUUGGUUACAUGCGGUGCUCCAUAUUCUUUUUAUGACCCUGAUUCAAAUGUCAUUCAAUCCCUGAAAAUUAGCUCUCAUUCGUUGUUUUCAUCUUUUCACUCCAGAACCCUAAAAAAAAUCCAUCAUCUCAUCUCUCAGCAUUGGCUCCUUCACCAACAUCGAUUUCAUCUUAAAGAUUUUGACCCUUUGUGAAUGCAAAGAAGACAUAAAAAAUAAAGUUCACGCGAUGAUCGAUAAAUUGGCUGAACAUUUGCAGAGCUCACGCCGAUGAACAACUUGCUAUUGCUAAGGAGAUUGGUAGACGACUUCGUAUGGGGCAAACACGCACCCUUCUUCUUUACUUGGUGGCGACAAGGAUGCAUCUAUAGCAGUUCACCUUAUUUAAGAGCUGAUUGAGGAAACUGAUGAAUUUACUGGACUUUUCCUAGAACUUAAGUAUGAGAUGUGAAGGAUUUACAAGAAAGAAUGUGCAUUUGUAGAAAGAUAGGUGAUGGUGUGAAUGAUGCACCUGUUUAAAAAAAAAAAAAAAGAAGCUAAAAGCACACUUUGGUAAUUGAUGUUGCUUAGCUAUAGAUGAUGGAAUCGUGUAGCAGACUACAUUUGUUACCAAUUGCGAAUCUGCUGGAGAGAGCCACAUGUAUUUAUUUUUUAAUUUUCGAAUAUUUGUUAUGCGGUUAAUAUUACUAUUUUUCAUACAGUUUGCUCACUUAAUAUUCAUGAUUUGUAGUAUGAGGGAUAAGAUUGAGACUCCAGAAGAGAUUUAGUUUAGGAAAUCAGUCAAAUAAUUUCACUUCAUUUUUGUUUGUUAUGAUUUACUUCAAAUUGUUAGGUGUAGGUGCUCAUUCAAAGACAAGAAAAUAAUUAUUUACCAUAAUGUAGAAGGCUAUAUGUUCUGUUGUUUAGGAUCAUGUUUGCUUUAUGCAAAGUGAGGUUUUUUCUUUUUGGUAAUCACGUUCGGGAGAGAACAUAUGUAUAUUGUAUUACAUUGAGAUCCAUUUAUAUUGCACACUAUUUUUUAUUUACUUAAUGAACUUUAUUUUUAUUAUAUUUUUGUGUUAUACAACUUAAAAUUAUUCAACCCGUGUAUCACACGGGUAAAUAACCUAGUAUAUAAUAAAUAAAUUAGAUGUGGGACACGUGUCAAGUGGUGGUGCAACCACAAUGGAUUUUAGGCGGGAAAAAUGUGAGAAACCUUAUGUUUUCACACGGGAUCCGCUAUGGUAUCCAUACCCGCAUGGUUUGACCCGGUAUAUAAAUCAUGGAAUAACCUAAUUCCCUCAUUCUUCUCAUUCAAGCCGCUUCCAGGAUACGUUUCUUUUACAAAACCCUAGCAUCGGCAUCUUUAAUCGCCACCAUCACAAUCUUGGUUAUUUGUCUGUCACCGCCACGUUUUACAAACCCUAAAUAUCAACACAGAUUCAGCAUUUGUUUGAAGGUUUAAAUCGAACAAUUGAUAUGAUGCUGUUAUAUAGAAGAAAUAUAUAUAUAUUUCUUGUAAAAAGGUUGCAAGGUUGCAUAUGGAGAGCACGGGUCAGAUGGUUCAGGCUGCAUAUGGUAGACGGGUUAGAUGGUUCAGGCUGCAUAUGGUAGAGUACAGGUUAGAUGGUUCAGGACUUCAGGCUGCAUAUGGUAGAGUACGGGUCAGAUUACAAGUUCCAACCCCUUUACAAACCCUAAGCCCGCUGUACAGUUAAAUGCUAAGACCUUUGCAAAUAUUAAUGAUGGAAAGCAUGCUCCAAAAGACAUAAGGGAGUUAGUGUAGGGAAUUUUAGAUACUGAUCAUUUUUUUGUGUUAACCAAAUCAAGUUACCAAGGUAAUAUUAGAUAAUAGUAGUGUGGAAAGAAAAUCCAUCAUGUAGGGUUAUUCUUAAUACUAUUUUACAAUUUUUUUUCUUUUGCAUGUAUUGGUAAAAAUUGAAUUGUACGUUGCAUUUUCUUGCAAAUUUAACUAAUUGACCCAUUAGAGAUAUGAACAGAUAUGAUGGUUCAUCA